rnacentral:rRNA from 1 species
CCAGCAUCCUAGCCGAAGCGCGGACCUCAGUCCCGGCUGGCCGUAUUACACCCUGGGCUAUAACACCUCCACCGAAGUGGAGGCCACAUUCCCAGAGCCUUUAUCCGGCCGCCGAAACUGAUGCUGGCCUGUCCAAACUGAGUAAACCGGUCAGAAGACCGGCCGAACAGUUUAAACAAGUCUGAUUGCAAGCGCUUCCCUUUCAACAAUUUCACGUGCUUUUUAACUCUCUUUCCAAAGUGCUUUUCAUCUUUCGAUCACUCUACUUGUGCGCUAUCGGUCUCUCGCCAAUAUUUAGCUUUAGAAGAAAUUUACCUCCCAUUUAGAGCUGCAUUCCCAAACAACUCGACUCGUCGAAGGAGAUUUACAUAGGGUGCCAUUUCCUGUCACAUACGGGAUUCUCACCCUCUAUGACGUCCUGUUCCAAGGAACUUAGACAGGCGGCUUCCCCAAAUCAUCCUCUACAAAUUACAAUGCGAACCCGAAGGCUAGCUUUCAAAUUUGAGCUGUUGCCGCUUCACUCGCCGUUACUAGGGCA